rnacentral:rRNA from 1 species
UUAGGAAUCUUCCCCAAUGGGCGAAAGCCUGAGGGAGCGAUACCGCUUGAGGGACGAAGCUUCUCGGAGUGUAAACCUCUGAACUAGGGACGAUGAUGACGGUACCUAGGUAAUAGCACCGGCUAACUCCGUGCCAGCAGCCGCGGUAAUACGGAGGGUGCGAGCGUUACCCGGAUUUACUGGGUGUAAAGGGCGCGUAGGCGGUUUUCUAAGUCCGAUGCUAAAGACCGGGGCUCAACCCCGGGGGUGCGUUGGAUACUGGGGAGCUAGGCGGUCGGAGAGGGUGGCGGAAUGGCCGGAGUAGCGGUGAAAUGCGCAGAUACCGGUCGGAACGCCGAUAGCGAAAGCAGCCACCUGGACGACAAGCGACGCUGAGGCGCGAAAGCGUGGGGAGCAAACC